UCUCGAUUGGUCUAGUGGUAAGGAUACCUGCUUGUCAUUCCAGUAGCGAUUCGAUUCACUUUGUGGAUUAGUCCAGCUAUGGAACAAGCCGCAGGUGGCCGGGGUUCGAUUCCCCGAUCGAGAG